rnacentral:rRNA from 1 species
AUUGAACGCUGGCGGCAGGCCUAACACAUGCAAGUCGAGCGGAGCGGUGGACGGGUAAGUAAUGCCUACGAAUCUGCAUGGUAGUCGGCGAUAAGGUCCGGAAACGGGCGCUAAUACCGCAUAGUAUCAGAUGAGACUAGGUCGGAUUAGGUAGUUGGUGGGGUAAUGGCCUACCAGGGCGACGAUCCGUAACUGGUAUGAGGGGAUAAUCAGGCACACGGGAACUGAGCAACGGUCAAGACCCCACCGGGAGGCAGCAGGGGGGAAUUUUGGACAAUGAGGGAAAGCCGGAUGCAGCAAGGCCGGUGGUGUGAAGAAGGUCUUCGGAUUGUAAAGCACGUUAAGUGGGGAGGCGGUACCAACAGAAUAAGCACCGGCUAACUUCGUGCCAGCAGCCGCGGUAAUAC